AGAGUUUGAUCCUGGCUCAGAUUGAACGCUGGCGGCAUGCUUUACACAUGCAAGUCGAACGGCAGCACGGGUGCUUGCACCUGGUGGCGAGCGGCGAACGGGUGAGUAAUGCACCGGAACGUACCCAGUAAUGGGGGAUAACACAUCGAAAGAUGUGCUAAUACCGCAUACGCCCUGAGGGGGAAAGCGGGGGAUCGUAAGACCUCGCGUUAUUGGAGCGGCCGAUGCCGGAUUAGCUAGUUGGUGAGGUAAGAGCUCACCAAGGCGACGAUCCGUAGCUGGUCUGAGAGGACGACCAGCCACACUGGGACUGAGACACGGCCCAGACUCCUACGGGAGGCAGCAGUGGGGAAUUUUGGACAAUGGGCGCA
rnacentral:rRNA from 1 species